UUGAUACUUAUAUAUACUUUACCACUAUACAUAAGAACCCUAUAUGUGGUACUAAUUUUUUCAUCUGAUGCAUACCUGCAGAGAUAUGUUACUAAAAAUAGAUUACCCCCACAAUCAACACAAAAUAGCUAAAAAUAGGCAAUAAAUUGUAAAUUGUAUAAUCAAUACCGAGAGGAAAAUACCAAUAUAUUUUGGUCAAUAAAAAUAUACAAUGGCAAAUAAAGUCCCCUUUUCCUUUAUGCAUUGCCAUAGUGACAAUAUCUCACUUGUCUCCAUGACAACGGUUGAUUUUAUUUGAUGAAUAUGGUUUUCUUGAAAAAACAUCUAAUUUUUAAAAUUACUUUUCUUAAAACAGCAAACACUUACAAUCGUAUGAGAUUUAUAAAAGAGAAAAGGGGAUUUUGUUUAAUCAAUUUUCAUUUUCAAAAGUGUGGAAAAUUCAUUUUUUUCCCAGAAAUGCCUCCUUUAAAAUGGUGAAAAAUUCCGGGAAAAUGAAAAAAACGAGAUAUAUUGAAAUCAUUGAAAUAUAAUAAUUGUGCAUUAACUUAUCAUCUUUGAUUAUUUUAGUUAAUGAUUAUAUCAAUGUAUUUUCAUUUUUGUUUCUUAAACUAUCGAAAUAUAAUAUAUGAUCCUACCGAAUAGGUAAAACAAUAAUUUCUGAGAAAUUUAGGUCGGGAUCGAAAUUCCCAUUAUACCUAACCCAUUUGUUUCCACCACAAGUUGUACCUGUAGACGAAUUUCAAUUUGGAAUUGAAGUUGUUUUUAAGCUUACCUUUGUAAGUUUUAAUGAAGAGGUCAUGUUACUGUUACAUGUAAAGACGUGUGGUUUAUCAACACUAACGAUCGGUUAAUAUUCAUAUGAAGCACCAUGUAAACAAGAUCCAUGUGGACCACUUACUUUCGCUUUUUGGAGAUACUGUACAGCCCUCGAGUACAAAUGUUGUUUGGGGUUGGAAACAGAAGACCGUCCAGACCGUCCUCCAUCGCGAGCACACAGGCGCGGUACUGCAGCUUCAGAGGGAGACGAUUAAAACUGAACCGCACGCUGAAUUUACUGUUGUUGACAAAAUUGGACACCAGACUACAAAUCAAUCAGUGUAUAUAGAAACACAUUUCCUUUAUAUAAUCAAUUAUCAACCUUCUCUAAUGCUGUAAAAGGUGUUAUCUAAAACAACAAAAUGACGGAGGCACUGUUACAAAAAAAGUUGAUCAAAAUAAUAUAGAGUAUCUGCCUAUCUCGAUGAAAUCAUAUGACUGUGCUUUUUUUGGUAUUGAUUAACAUUAUUAGAAUUCAUCAAACAUCA